GCGGUCGCUAAAGUGGGGAACAGGGUGCUCCCUUGGAGAGGCAGAUAUAAUACCAAUGCUGGCAAAGUUUCUCUAAUUAACUCCUGCUUAUCCUCUCUCCCCAUGUUUCUUAUGGGCUUCUAUCUUCUUACGGAUGGCGUGCAUGCUGGCUUCGACAAACAUAGGGGAGCCUUCUACUGGAAUUCCGCGGAUAACAAACGGAAAUAUAGGCUGGUCAAGUGGCAGCAUAUGUGUAAGCCUAAAAACCGUGGGGGGUUAGGUAUUAUUAAUACUCGGGUGAUGAACAUUUGUUUGCUUAUCAAGUGGUGGUGGAAAAUUUUAACUAGUGGGGCUGACUCGCUUUGGUUCUCGAUUCUUAAGGCUAAA
rnacentral:rRNA from 1 species